rfam:Burkholderia sp. Leaf177 contig_1, whole genome shotgun sequence.
GCCUCGUGCCUGAAAGGGCGACGGCGUCGAGUCGGAGCGAGAAGUCAGCAGAGGCCGUACUAGUCACAGGAUAGGCCGGUGAGGCUSAAGCGAGUGAUGAAGGGC